UCGGGAAUUUUGGGCAAUGGGCGAAAGCCUGACCCAGCAACGCCGCGUGAAGGAUGAAGUAUUUCGGUAUGUAAACUUCGAAAGAAUAGGAAGAAUAAAUGACGGUACUAUUUAUAAGGUCCGGCUAACUACGUGCCAGCAGCCGCGGUAAUACGUAGGGACCAAGCGUUGUUCGGAUUUACUGGGCGUAAAGGGCGCGUAGGCGGCAAUUCAAGUCAUCUGUGAAAUCUCCGGGCUUAACUCGGAACGGUCAGAUGAUACUGCUUUGCUAGAGUGCAGAAGGGGCAAUCGGAAUUCUUGGUGUAGCGGUGAAAUGCGUAGAUAUCAAGAGGAACACCAGUGGCGAAGGCGGCUCACUGGAUCGGUACUGACGCUGAGGUGCGAAAGCGUGGGGAGCAAACAGGAUUAGAUACCCCCGUAGUCCCUGAGCGGGCUGGCAAGGCGCAU
rnacentral:rRNA from 1 species